ACUCCUACGGGAGGCAGCAGUGGGGAAUAUUGCACAAUGGGCGCAAGCCUGAUGCAGCCAUGCCGCGUGUAUGAAGAAGGCCUUCGGGUUGUAAAGUACUUUCAGCAGUGAGGAAGGUGGGUAUGUUAAUAGCAUACUCAUUUGACGUUAGCUGCAGAAGAAGCACCGGCUAACUCCGUGCCAGCAGCCGCGGUAAUACGGAGGGUGCGAGCGUUAAUCGGAAUUACUGGGCGUAAAGCGCAUGCAGGUGGUUUGUUAAGUCAGAUGUGAAAGCCCGGGGCUCAACCUCGGAAUUGCAUUUGAAACUGGCAAACUAGAGUACUGUAGAGGGGGGUAGAAUUUCAGGUGUAGCGGUGAAAUGCGUAGAGAUCUGAAGGAAUACCGGUGCGAAAGGCGGCCCCCUGGACAGAUACUGACACUCAGAUGCGAAAGCGUGGGGAGCAAACAGGAUUAGAUACCCCGGUAGGCUCUGC
rnacentral:rRNA from 1 species